rnacentral:rRNA from 1 species
GAUGAACGCUGGCGGUAUGCUUAACACAUGCAAGUCGAACGGACUCUUCGGAGUUAGUUGCGGACGGGUGAGUACCGCGUGAGAAUCUGCCUUUGAGUUCGCGACCCUCGCUGGAAACGUUGCCUAAUACCGGUUGUGCCGAUAGGGAAAAGGGACAUGUCCUGAAGAUGAGCUCGGGUCUGAUUAGCUCGUUGGUGGGUUUACGGCUCACCAAUGCAGCGGUCAGUAGCUGGUCUGAGAGGAUGACCAGACACACGGGGACUGAGACACGGCACAGACUCCUAGGGGAGGCAGGAGUGGGGAAUUUUCCGCAAUGCGGGAAAGUGUGACGGAGAAAUAGCGCGUGAGGGAAGGAGGUUCGGGGGGUGUAAACCUCUUGCCUGAGGGAAGGACAAAAUGACGGUACUGAAGGAAGCAGCACCGGCUAACUCCGUG